GCCGGCACGGGGCGUGAGGACGGCUGAGUACACGUGCUAACCUACCUCGGGACGGGGAUAGUCCCGGGAAACUGGGGCUAAUCCCCGAUAGGCGGAGAGGCCUGGAAGGGUCCUCCGCCGAAAGGGUACGGCGGGGAUGUCCGCCGUGCCGCCCGAGGAUGGGGCCACGGCCCAUCAGGUAGUUGGCGGGGUAACGGCCCGCCAAGCCGAUAACGGGUAGGGCCGUGGGAGCGGGAGCCCCCAGAUGGGCCCUGAGACAAGGGCCCAGGCCCUACGGGGCGCACCAGGCGCGAAAACUCCGCAAUGCGGGCAACCGUGACGGGGCCACCCCGAGUGCCCCGAAGAGGGGCUUUUCCCCGCUGUAAGGAGGCGGGGGAAUAAGCGGGGGGCAAGUCUGGUGUCAGCGCCGGGUAAAACCAGCUCCUCGAGGGGUCCCCACGGCAUACUGGGCCUAAAGCGUCUCGUAGACCUGGCGCCCGUAAGUCCCCGGUUAAAUCCACCAGAAGACUGGUGGACUGCCGGGGAUACUGCGGGGCUAGGGAGCGGGAGGGGCCGAGGGUAUUCCGGGGGAUAGCGGUAAAAUGCGUAGAUCCCCGGAGGACCACCAGUGGCGAAGGCGCUCGGCUGGAACGCGUCCGACGGUGAGGGACGAAAGCUGGGGGAGCAAACCGGAUUAGAUACCCGGGUAGUCCCAGCGCGGUAAACGAUGCCGGCUAGUGCCGGCCGAGGUUUCGGCCUCGGCCGGUGUCGAAGCGAAGGCGUUAAGCCGGCCGCCUGAGGAGUACGGCCGCAAGGCCGAAACUUGAAGGAAUUGACGGGGGGGCACCACAAGGGGUGAACGCCUGCGGCUCAAUUGGACUCAACGCCGGGAAUCUUACCGGGGGCGACAGCAGGAUGAAGGUCAGGCUGAAGACCUUACCUGACGCGCUGAGGGGUGGUGCAUGGCCGUCGCCAGCUCGUGCCGUGAGGUGUCCUGUUAAGUCAGGCAACGAGCGAGACCCCCGCCCCUAGUUGCCAGCGGGGCCUUUCGGGGCUGACCGGGCAAACUAGGGGGACUGCCGGCGAAGAGCCGGAGGAAGGAGGGGGCUACGGCAGGUCAGUAUGCCCCUAAUCCCCCGGGCCGCACGCGGGCUGCAAUGGGCGGGACAGCGGGAUGCGACCCCGAGAGGGGGAGCUAACCCCUUAAACCCGCCCGUAGUUGGGAUCGAGGGCUGCAACUCGCCCUCGUGAACCCGGAAUCCUAGUAACCGCGGUUCUCCAUACCGCGGUGAAUACGUCCUGCCCCUUGUACACACCGCCCGUCAACCCACCC
rnacentral:rRNA from 1 species